GGUGAGAUGGCUGAGGUUAUAGGCGUUAGAUUGUAAAUUUAAGAACGAAGAGUUUCUUCUCUCACCA
rnacentral:tRNA from 1 species